UACGAAGGGGGCUAGCGUUGCUCGGAAUUACUGGGCGUAAAGCGCACGUAGGCGGCUUUCUAAGUCGGGGGUGAAAUCCUGGAGCUCAACUCCAGAACUGCCUUCGAUACUGGAGAGCUCGAGUCCGGGAGAGGUGAGUGGAACUGCGAGUGUAGAGGUGAAAUUCGUAGAUAUUCGCAAGAACACCAGUGGCGAAGGCGGCUUACUGGCCCGGUACUGACGCUGAGGUGCGAAAGCGUGGGGAGCGAACAGG
rnacentral:rRNA from 1 species